rnacentral:lncRNA from 1 species
ACGAGUGUGCAUUGAGUACGUCUUCGUGAGUGUCGUUCAUCUGGAUAGAGGUUGGAGCUGAGGGUGGCACAAAAGGGCAAGCAUCGUACUUCUUGGCGCUUCGUGAUAGAAUAGCAUGCGAUAGAUGGCGUCACACCUGUGUUUGGUUGCGAAAGGAGGCAUCGCAACAAACAACAAUGGAGUAGAGAGGGUCGUGUCUAUGUUUGGUCGCUGACCCGUCUGGCUGUGUGACUACAUCUGUUUGCAGUGCGGCUGUUUUUGGAUGUGCAACUAAAGGUUCUACUGCCGG